rnacentral:rRNA from 1 species
GAUGAACGCUGGCGGCGUGCCUAAUACAUGCAAGUCGAGCGAACAGACGAGGAGCUUGCUCCUCUGACGUUAGCGGCGGACGGGUGAGUAACACGUGUAUAACCUACCUAUAAGACUGGGAUAACUUCGGGAAACCGGAGCUAAUACCGGAUAAUAUAUUGAACCGCAUGGUUCAAUAGUGAAAGACGGUUUUGCUGUCACUUAUAGAUGGAUCCGCGCCGCAUUAGCUAGUUGGUAAGGUAACGGCUUACCAAGGCGACGAUGCGUAGCCGACCUGAGAGAGUGAUCGGCCACACUGGAACUGAGACACGGUCCAGACUCCUACGGGAGGCAGCAGUAGGGAAUCGUCCGCAAUGGGCGAAAGCUUGACGGAGCAACGCCGCGUGAGUGAUGAAGGUCUUCGGAUCGUAAAACUCUGUUAUUAGGGAAGAACAAAUGUGUAAGUAACUAUGCACGUCUUGACGGUACCUAAUCAGAAAGCCACGGCUAACUACGUG